AUUGAACGCUGGCGGCAUGCCUUACACAUGCAAGUCGAACGGCAGCACGGGAGCAAUCCUGGUGGCGAGUGGCGAACGGGUGAGUAAAGUAUCGGAACGUGCCCAGUCGUGGGGGAUAACGUAGCGAAAGUUACGCUAAUACCGCAUACGAUCUAUGGAUGAAAGCGGGGGAUCGCAAGACCUCGCGCGAUUGGAGCGGCCGAUAUCAGAUUAGGUAGUUGGGGGGGUAAAGGCUCACCAAGCCGACGAUCUGUAGCUGGUCUGAGAGGACGACCAGCCACACUGGCACGAAGACACGGCCCAGACUCCUACGGGAGGCAGCGGUGGGGAAUUUUGGACAAUGGGCGCAAGCCUGAUCCAGCCAGGCCGCGUGCAGGAUGAAGGCCUUCGGGUUGUAAACUGCUUUUGUACGGAACGAAAAGGUUUGGGCUAAUAAGCUGAGCUCAUGACGGUACCGUAAGAAUAAGCACCGGCUAACUACGUGCCAGCCGCCGCCGCCG
rnacentral:rRNA from 1 species